CGUUUAAACCGAGAACCGUUAAUAUCGUGAACAACGUUGUGUUAACUGUGGCAAAAAUUUGUUUCCUUGGGCUCCCUUUUGAAAAAUUUCACCCUUCGCCAUUGGUGCCUAUAGUAGUAAUGCAGUACAGACCUCCUUUCAAUAUUAUAAUUCUCUUUGGACCUACUCUUUGGUCGUUGCUAUAGAAACAAGCUUAAUUUGUCCUUUUUGUGUUGAGAAUAACGUAAUGUGUUUGAUUUAAAUUAUUAUUUUCAAAUCGAAAUAUGAACGAGCACAUAAGACGUAAAAAUCUAUCCACCACGUUACCUGCAAUUGAAACUCUUCAACGGAAUGUUCGAAAAGUGCCCAUCUAUUAUUCGAGGAAACCACGGGAAAUUCCUUUUCACGUGCCUCAUAAAAAGCUAUUACAAAAAAUAGAGUUCGUCAAGAGAGAGCCGGAACCAUUGACUGGGUUUACUACAGCUCAAGAAGAUCGACGCAUAAAAGAAAGAAAACCCGCCAAACUGCAACUUGAACCCAUAAAAUUAGAGGAAAGUCUUAGCACUGUUAAAGAAAAGAAAAAAAGAAACACUCAAAAUACGAGAAUCCCGAAGCAGUUUAGACAUAAACAAAGAAGAUGUGACAGCCGACCCCUUAAAAGUAAAACCUGUCGUAGCCUCGCAGGCCGAAGUAAUUGACUACGUGAAGAAUAAUCCCGCAUGCGGAUUUUUAUACAUGAUGUAUGCCGUCCACCCACAAAAUGUUUAUUUUACGCCGUAUUACCUCAAGGUUGUACCGUACGAAGAGAUCGACAGAAAGAAUUACCUUACAAUUAGCGCUUGUGGAGUUACACAUUAUACGAACGAAAUGGUAUUUACGAAAUUACCUGCUUGGGAACAAGAAUAUAAUAUUUUUGUCAAACUUACUGAUAUAAAAUUUUUCAAAGUAUAUAGAUAUUGGAAAGCAUUCUAUGUCUGGAGAAAAUCAAUAGUUUUCAGAAAAUAUAGUAAACUACGAUCUAAAUUGGCUAAGAAUUUAUUUAUCCUUACACCAGUAUUGGGAAAGGCGUUACUGAAUAUACAAGCUAUGUGCUGCGAAAUGUACAUGAAAAGUUUUGCGGAUUUGUCUAGAGAUAUGGAUACAGCAUUUUUCUACUUUAUAGAAGUUCUGAUGAAACGCGUGGAAUACAUAAGGGAUAAGCUAAAAGAAUUUCGAGAUGUGGCCUUGGAUAUUAUAACACAAACCUGCCAUACGGCGCUUUAUCAACAAGGUUUCGUGUUUGACGAUAGAAAUAUACCACCAUUUCAAAUGAUUAGGGGCAAACCUACGGGAGGGAUGUCUUACACUGAAAAAGCAAACAAAAGAAAAUAUUGUGAAAGACUGGCUUGUUUUAUAAAAUUAACUGAUUAUAUGACGAACUAUAUGUUGUACCGAUUAACAAAGCGAUCCAACAACAUGUUAGCUGAAAUGUUCCGCGUACACGUCAGCUUCACGCCAGAUCGGGAACUCUUGGAAGGCACCGCGGUCGAUGAAAUUCUCGAAGUCAUCCCAAGAGUUACUGAUACUUGUAAGUGGGCCCUAUUUCAAAUAGACGCUUUCGUUGAACCUAGUGGUGAGGUGAUACUAAAUCCAAGCGAAAAAGUAAUGUCAACGUAUGUCGAAAAAAUAACCAGCUACUGGGAUGAAUAUGUGCGAACUUUCCAUAAUUUUUUGAACGAACCGACUUUGGAAAUAUUUGUACAACCAACUGUGAUGGGCAAGCAAGUCGAAUGGUCUGCUGGCGUAUCCCCCAAUUUAUACUUCCUUAUGAACCAGGAUAAACAAAUGAUAGAAGAUAUUGCAUUUAUACCAAGUGCUAUUAAAAAUGGCUUCGAUAAUGUUUGGAUAUUCCUGAGACGUUUGCAAGGUUUUAUGGAUAGUUUCAAAGAAGCGAAUGAAUUGGACCUAAACAUUAUUAAAAAUGAAAGAGAUAUCAAUGAGUUUAGAAAACUAUGCGAGAAGCUAGUAAAGCAGAUGGAAUCUAUAGAGGAGGUCGUUUGCUAUCAGCCCCUGGGAAUACUAUUUUUAUGUCUCAGUCCUUUCCAAGAGUUAUUUAGACCACAGCCAAGAAGACUAUUUGAUGUUGUUCUUAAUGUUACUCCUGAUAUCGGUCGAGCAGCUAUUGAUGAAAUAUUGGAAGGUAUUGAUAAUAUAACUGAAGACAUUACCAAUGAGCCGGAGACGGCCGGUGAACUGGUUACAUUCAACUUCAUGAUGGAUGGACUAGAGUCACGCGUCGCCUUUCUUGAAGAGCGCUUGGAGUACCUUCGAGAACUUUAUGACCUUAUGGGAGAGUUCAACAUUCCUAUACCACCUGAUGAUAUGACUGAAUACCUGGGUUUAAGUGUGGCUUUAGGCACAUUACGAACUGAUGUUGAUGCACGGCUGGAAACUAGAAGUAAACUUGCUGGACUGUUUGCUAGUCAGAUUGGCAAAGACAUAAUGGAACUCAUGAUGGACGUUAAUAAGUUACGAGAUGAAGUCAUGCAACCCUGGCUUUAUGACGACAAAUCAGAUAUGGAAAAAGUUAUGGAGGCAUUAAGUGGAUUGAUGGAUAAACUCAUGGAAUGCUCGAGCAGAGAUAAACAGAUAAGAGAAUGGCAGAAAAUAUUUAAGAUACCACCUGCCAGGCUGGAACAGCUGGACGAAGCAAUAAACGACGUAAAGCUUAGACAAUUAUUAUGGACCUCAUCCAAAGAAUGGGAAGACAUGUUUAAAUCAUGGUAUGAAAAUCCAUUCAAUACUUUGGACAUUGAUGAAAUUCAGACAAUAACAAUAAACUUCGGCAAAGUCUUUAAUCAACUUGACAAAGGCCUACCACCAAACAAAAUUGUGCCGAAAUGUAAGGAAACAAUAGAUAUUAUCAAAGAGAAGUUACCCGUAAUGACAUAUUUGCGGAAUCCAGCAUUGAAACCGCGUCACUGGGUCAAAAUCGAAGAAAUCUUGCACACACGUUUCACACCUGAUAUCGUACUGACUCUGCGAGUAUUUGAAGAUUUACAUGCUUUUCAAUAUGCAGAGGAACUCAUGGAAGUUGCUGGACAGGCUAGUUCCGAAGCUGGCCUGGAAGCUUUACUCAAAAAGGUCGAGGAAAUAUGGGCGGCACUAGAAUUCCCAGUACUUUUGCAUAAAGAUGCUCGGGACGUUUACGUUCUCGGAGGCCUAGACGAGAUACAAGCGGCCCUCGACGAAAGUAAUAUACACGUGAGCACGAUCCUUAGCUCAAGAAGCUGUGGACCCAUUAAGGGGAGAGUUGAAGAGUGGGCCCGAAACUUAGAGUUAUUCGCUAAAACACUUGAAGAAUGGUAUGCAUGUCAGCAAACUUGGAUGUACCUGGAAGUUAUAUUUUCUGCCCCUGAUAUUCAGAGGCAGUUGCCAAACGAAACACGACUUUUCACCAUGGUUGAUAAGUCCUGGAAAGACAUCAUGCGUAAACUAGCCAAGGUACCUCUGGCAAUGCCUGCUGCAACACAACCAAAAUUGUAUGAAGAAUUUGUUCGUAACAACGAAAUGUUGGACCAGAUCAUGAAGUGCCUUGAAGCGUACCUAGAAACGAAACGAGUUGCAUUUCCAAGAUUCUUCUUUUUGUCCAAUGAUGAAUUGCUUGAAAUAUUGGCUCAGACUCGUAACCCACAUGCUGUGCAACCACAUCUACGUAAAUGUUUCGAUGCAAUAGCGAAGUUGGAAUUUGGAGUAAAACUACCUGAAAGUGAAAUGGAAAUAACGGAAGACGGUACAUUAGUGGAGAAAGAAAUGUCAUUUCAAACUAGAGAUAUGCUUCAAGCAAAACUCGCUAAAACCGCCAAACCAGAGGAUUUAACCACGGAUAUUAUAGCAAUGAUUUCACCAGAAAGCGAAAGAGUAAAUUUAGGAAAGGGUUUGAAAGCUCGAGGCAACGUUGAAGAUUGGCUCGGCAAGGUAGAAGAGGCAAUGUUCGCAUCUGUAAAGCGGUGCAUGAAGUUUGCUCUCAAAGAUUUCAUGGCACGUCCUCGGGUUGAAUGGGUAGAACUUCAUGCUAACCAGGUGGUCCUAACCGUAUCUCAAAUAAUGUGGGCUAAAGGUGUCCAUGAAGUUUUCGAUCUGGAAAUACCGUUACGUAUUGAUACGACUCUCCUCGAGUACGAAAAAAAAUGCAUUGUCGAUUUGAACGACCUCGCUGCGUUGACUCGCAAGGAUCUUACUUCAUUAUUUAGGAAGGUUUUGUGUGCGUUAAUUACGAUAGAUGUGCAUGCUAGAGAUACCAUAUCGCAAAUGGUAGACAAACAUGUGCAACGCGCUAAUGAUUUCGAAUGGCUUAAAAUGAUUCGAUACUACUGGGAAGAAGAUAUCGACAACUGUGUUGCUCGUAUGUCGAGUGCGUUAUAUAUUUACGGCCAUGAAUACUUGGGUGCUGGAGGCGUAUUGGUAAUAACUCCUCUGACUGAUCGGUGCUAUUUGUGCCUGAUGGGAGCUUUGCAGCUAGACUUGGGUGGGGCACCGGCUGGUCCCGCUGGUACUGGGAAAACUGAGACUACUAAGGAUUUAGCCAAAUCACUGGCUAUUCAGUGUGUCGUAUUCAAUUGUUCUGAAGGACUUGAUUACAAAAUGAUGGGGAGGUUCUUCUCGGGUCUAGCCACUUCAGGAGCGUGGUGCUGUUUCGAUGAGUUCAACCGAAUCGACAUCGAGGUGUUAUCAGUAAUUGCACAACAACUUAUCACAAUCAGAAAUGCAAAAGUAGCGAGACAGACGAGAUUCAUGUUUGAGGGUCGUGAAAUUAAACUCGUACGCACUUGUGCAGCGUUUAUUACUAUGAAUCCAGGUUACGCAGGCAGAACUGAGCUACCUGAUAACUUGAAAGCUUUAUUCCGUCCUAUAUCGAUGAUGGUACCGGAUUAUGCUCUAAUCGCGGAAGUAAUUCUGUAUUCAGAAGGAUUUGAAUCAUCGAAGAGUCUAUCCAAGAAAAUGGUUCAAAUGUACAAACUUUCUAGCGAACAGUUGUCCAAACAAGACCAUUACGAUUUUGGCAUGAGAGCAGUGAAAAGUGUCUUGGUCAUGGCCGGUGCUUUGAAGCGAGCUAGUCCCGAUCAACCUGAGGAAAUGACUCUCUUGUGUGCCCUCAAUGACAGCAACUUACCCAAAUUCCUGGCCGCAGAUGCGGUAUUAUUUGCGGGAAUUCUAUCAGACUUGUUUCCAGGUGUCAGCCUGCCGUUUAGAGACUACGGUGUCAUGGAGGACGUUAUAAAAAUAAUUCUGCUGGAGAGAAAACUGCAGGUAGAAAUAUGCCAAAUUCGCAAAGUAAUACAACUGCAUGAAACCAUGAUCGUGCGCUGGGGUGUCAUGUUGGUAGGACCUACCGGCGGCGGCAAGACUGUUGUGCUACACGUUCUAGGGGAUACGUACACGAGACUUAACGAGAACGGGGUCCCGGGAUCUCAGUACCAAUACGUGCACAAAUACAUAAUGAACCCAAAGAGUCUCACCAUAGGCGAACUGUAUGGCGAAGUGAACUUGCAAACUCUAGAAUGGCACGAUGGUAUACUUCCGCUUAGUCUUCGAACUGCUGUUCAGUGCGAGAAAACAGAUCACCAAUGGUUGAUUUGUGAUGGACCUGUGGACGCAGUGUGGAUUGAGAACAUGAACACGGUGCUUGACGACAACAAGAUGCUCUGUCUCUCCAACUCUGAACGCAUUAAACUGACACCCUACGUACACAUGGUUUUUGAGGUGGCAGAUUUAGCGCAAGCGUCUCCCGCUACUGUGUCCCGAUGUGGGAUGGUGUAUAUAGACCCAAACGAAAUGGGCUACCUGCCUUACGUGCGCUCGUGGCUAAACGAAGGCGUCGAAAAAAAUCUAUUCACGGCAGACAAUUCAGAAUUUCUAUACAUUCUGUUCCAAAUGCUCCAAGUGGGAGUGAAGCAUGUUAACACAAAAUGCAGUGUGGGAAUCAGACAGGUGGAUAUAAGCAAAGUAUCAGCUAUAUGUUUUUUAUUGGGGGCAUUACUAGCCGAGCCAGGUGAUCGGUUUGCAGACAAAGCUGCAAUAAAAGUGUAUAUCGCUCAUUGCUUCAUAUUCUGUUACGUGUGGUGUAUAGGCGGUAACAUACUGGAGAUAAAUCGAAAGGGGUACGAAGAAGUUAUUAAGAGGCAAUUUGAAGAGUUCGAAGAGGCAGAGUAUUUCCCACAGGGUUUCAACUUCUUUGACAUGUAUAUGGACACGCGGCAACGGAAACUAAAAGUGUGGGCUGAAAUAAUUCCCGAGUUUAUAUAUGAUUGCAAUAAACCGUUCUUUGAGACUUUGGUUCCUACUAUCGACACGGUGCGCUAUGGAUACUUGUUCGAAAAACUCCUUGGUGCUGGAAAGCCGGUUAUGUUUACCGGGAAUACAGGUGUUGGUAAAACUUGCAUAGCUGUUGAGAUCCUAAAUCGGAUGUCGACCACUGGGUACUAUAUACCGAUUAUUUUGAAUUUUUCGGCACAAACUAGUAGCACACGCACACAGGAAGUUAUAGAGUUACGAUUGGACAAAAGGCCUCGGAAAGCGAUUGGAGCUCCUCUAGGCAAAAAAGUUAUCAUAUUCAUAGACGACGUAAACAUGCCUCGACUUGACGUGUAUGGUGCUCAGCCCACUAUAGAAUUGCUAAGACAAUUUCUAGACUUCGGCGGUGUGUACGACCGUGACAAAUUAUAUUGGAAGGAAAUAUUAGACGUAGUUUUAUCGUGCGCUUGCGCACCACCUGGUGGUGGAAGAAAUCCAUUGACUGCCAGAUUCGUGAGGCAUUUUGCAAUGUUUUACAUAUCCGCACCAAAUGCUGAUGCUAUGAAAACUAUAUUCAAGGCAAUUCUUAAAGGUCAUAUGGAAGAUUUCGUAUCCGAAGUAUCGGUUUUAGGAGAACCGAUAGUAAAUGCGGCUGUAGAGGUGUACCUAAAAAUUUGCGCCGAGCUGCUACCGACUCCUGCGAAAUCGCAUUAUGUGUUCAACUUACGAGAUCUGUCCAAGUCGAUGCAAGGUGUACUCCAAGCGGAUGCUGCUUACAUGCGGGCGCCACAAGGAAUGCUUCGUUUGUUCUACCACGAAUGUCUUCGCGUCUUCCACGAUCGAUUGAUAAACAUUGAAGAUAAAAGUUAUUUCUAUCAUUUGAUGGCUUCAGUUUGUGAAAAAUAUUUUCACAAUCCGAUUUUGGAUGUCCCGGAAGACCCGAUAAUCGAACGCCCACCUCUUCUUCUCUUUGGUGAUUUCUUAAAUUCGGCUGUUCCGAAGGAAAACAGAAAUUACCAAGAAAUAUCCGAUAUGGCAAGACUAAUGGUGGUUCUAAAGGAAUACUUGGAGGAAUACAACUCGACGGCCCGUGCGGAGAUGCAUCUAGUUCUGUUUCAAGACGCGGUAGAGCACGUCGUGCGCGUAGCGAGGGUAUUCCGAGCGGAGCGUGGACAUUGUCUGAUGGUGGGUCCGGGCGGAUCUGGACGGCGGAGUGUCGCAACGCUCGCCGGACAUGUUAACGAGUGCAAAUGCAUGGGAAUGGAGUUGAAACGGAACUACGACACGCCAGAGUUCCACGACGACCUGCGCAAGAUGUACAUGCGCGCCGGCGUCAACAACGACGAUACCGUUUUCCUGUUCACCGACACCCAGAUCACUAAGGAGGAGUUCCUGGAGGACAUUAAUAAUAUGCUUAAUUCCGGUGAAGUGCCGAACUUGUUUGAAGGCGAUACUUACGAACAGGUGCAGACUGGGUGCCGGAACGACGCCGCUAAGUUUGGCAUCAAUCCAGCGGACCGUGACUCUGUCUAUUAUUUCUUUAUCAACCGCGUGAGAGGCAAACUUCAUUUGUGUAUUUGUAUGAGCCCCGUGGGAGAGGCUUUCAGACGUCGUUGCCGCAUGUUUCCGUCAUUAGUGAACUGCUGUACAAUCGACUGGUUCACUAAAUGGCCGCCUGAAGCGUUGCUUUCCGUGGCCCAGCAGUGCCUGCAGCCGCUUGGCAACCAGGAGAUAAUCGAAAAGAUCUCGCCGCUGUGCGUCAUAAUGCACCAGGACGUAGAUUUAAUGACUGAUCGUCUGUAUCAGGAAAUGAGACGUUACUUCUAUACAACUCCAAGCAGUUAUUUAGAUUUACUAAAAUUGUACCUUGCUCUGCUUGAUAAAAAACAACAGCAAAUAAUACGUGGCCGAGAUAGAAUUUCAUGUGGAUUACAGAAAUUGUACGAAACUUAUGAGGUUGUCGGAGUGAUGGAGCAACAGGUACGUGAAAUGGAACCCAUCCUGGCUCGCAAAGCUGAGGAAGGUAUUGCACUAGUUGAUAGACUUAAAGUCGAACAGAAGGCGGCUGAUGAAGUGAAGCAAGCUGUCAUGAAAGACGAAGCUGAAGCAAAGAUUAAAGCAGAAGAAGUGAAGGAAAUAGCGGACGAGGCGAAAGCGGACCUCGCCUUGGCCAUGCCCGCGAUGGAAGCCGCUCAGAACGCACUCAAAGCUCUCAAUAAAGCUGACAUCAAUGAAUUAAAAGCUUUUCAGAAGCCGCCCGCCCUCGUGCGCUUCGUAAUGGAACCUGUGUGCAUUUUAAUGGGCGUUAAGCCUGAUUGGGACUCGACAAAGAAAUUACUAGCUGAUGUUAACUUUAUUGGCAAACUAGAAGACUAUGAUAAAGACCACAUACCUGACGCUACUCUGAAAAAAAUAAAAGUUUAUUUAACUCAUAAGGAUUUUAAUCCAGACACUGUCGUGAAAGUAUCGAAGGUAUGUCGCUCCAUGGUUCUGUGGGUGCAAGCUAUCGACAUGUAUGCGAAGGUGUUUCGAGUCGUGGAACCUAAGAUAUUAAAGCACAAAGAAGCCGCUGCUAUAUUGAAAAGCGUAAUGGCGGUUUUGAGGGCAAAACAGAAAGAAGUUGAAGCAAUUGAGGCACAAUUAGAGAAAAUGAUGGACGAAUUAAGGGUAGUAGAAGAGGAACGUCAGAAAUUACAGGCUGAUGUCGAUUUGGCUGCGGCGAGACUCUCCCGAGCUGGAAAACUAACUCAGGCUUUAGCAGAUGAGAAAACGCGAUGGGAAGACAGUGUCAAAUCCGCCACUAAACAGCUGCACUGCACAACGGGUGACAUAAUAGUAGCAUCUGGUUGUAUCGCGUAUUUCGGCGCGUUCCCCUCACACUACCGACGAGAGCUUGAGUUGCGAUGGAUCGAACAGUGCGCUGCUUUGGAAAUACCCUCAUCGGAUUCUUUUGAUCUUAUAUCAAUAAUGGCGGAUUCGUACACGGUGCGUACAUGGAACUCUCAAGGUCUGCCGCGCGAUGCUAUCUCCACGGAGAAUGGUAUACUGGUGACUAGAGCGGGAAGAUGGCCGCUUACCAUUGAUCCUCAAGAACAGGCCAAUAGAUGGAUAAAGAACAUGGAACGAGAGAAUGGUUUGCAAAUAACGAAACUGAAUGAUCCCUCGUACAUUCGUAUGUUGGAAAAUUGUAUACGACUCGGUUGGCCGAUGCUCAUUGAGGAUUUAGGAGAAUCAUUGGAAGCCACUCUGUCGCCGGUACUACUCAAACAGACCUUCGUUCAGGCCGGGCGUCUGUUGAUACAUUUAGGGGACAGCGACAUCGAAUACGACACGAACUUCCGUCUGUACCUCACCACGAAACUCGCGAACCCGCACUACCUGCCCGAAAUCUGCAUACAAGUGACGCUAGUCAAUUUCACCGUCACUCUGUCCGGGCUCGAGGACCAACUUUUAGCAGACGUGGUAAGAUUAGAGAGGCCAGAUUUGGAAAUACUCCGCACUCAACUGAUAGUGCGCAUUAACACCGACAAAGCUACUCUACUAGAGAUUGAAGACAAAAUCUUACGGCUACUGUAUGCUUCGACUGGAAAUAUUCUGGACGAUGAAGAGCUUAUAGAGACUCUCAAUGAGAGUAAGGAAACGUCUGAAAUAAUAAAUGCUCGACUCGAAGAAACAGAAGCGACAGAGAUCAGCAUAUCGGCAGCGCGGGAGAAGUAUCGCACGGUCGCGACCCGCGGCGCGGUGCUAUACUUCGCGGUGGCGCAGUUGGCAGACAUAGAUCCCAUGUACCAGUUCUCGUUAAAGUAUUUCAAUCAGGUGUUUAAUGCUGUAAUCGAAAAGAGCGAGAAAUGCGACAUACUAGAAACACGAUUGGAUAUUUUACAUCGAGAAAUAACGUUAUCGGUGUACCGCAAUGUAUCCCGGGGAUUGUUCGAGAGGCACAAGCUGGUGUUCAGCUUUCUGCUCAAUAUGGCCAUUUACCUGAAUGCAGGUUUAAUCACACCCGAUCAGUGGAAUUUCAUACUGCGUGGAGCAGCCGGGACCAAAGUCGUACCCGUUAAAAAGCCAUUAGUUGAAUCAUUGACAGACCAAAUGUGGCUCACCAUCAAUCAUCUGCAGGAGACCGAUUCCAGUUUCACAGGAAUAUUAGACGAUUGUCUCAAAAAGAUUCCAAUUUCUAUAGGAUCAUUUAGUGUGGAUAUUCAUAUAAACUUGAACGACAAAAGUGCGCCGAAAAUAAACUGGGACGAAAAAUUGACUUCGUUCGAAAAGUUGAUGAUAAUUAAGGCUCUGAAAGAGGAAAAAUUGGUAUUUGCAAUCGCUCAGUACGUGAGCAUCAGCCUGGGCUCCGUCUUCAUAGAGAGCCCGACGGUUCAGCUGAAUACACUGUAUGCUGAUACGACAUCGAUAAUUCCGCUGGUGUUUGUGCUAAGUACUGGCUCGGAUCCGUUCGGUGCGUUCCAGAAGUUUGCCACAGAGAUGGGUAUGCGCGAUCGCGUGCAUUCCAUAUCGCUUGGGCAGGGCCAAGGACCAGUGGCGGAGAAAAUGAUAAACAAUGCAAAACCCUUAGGAGAUUGGAUAUUUUUACAGAAUUGUCACUUAGCUGCCUCAUGGAUGUUGAGCCUGGAACAAAUUGUAGCUAACCUGGGAAGUGACACUGGCACUCCGCACCCUGACUUCCGCCUGUAUCUGAGUUCAAUGCCCACACCAAAAUUCCCAGUAUCAGUGCUGCAGAACUCUGUGAAAGUCACCAACGAACCGCCUAAAGGAUUAAAAGCAAACGUCAAGAGAGCUUUAGUAGAGAUGGAAGAGGAUUUCUUUGAGAAUCACGUGCUCGGUCAGGAUUGGAGGACUAUGCUGUUUGGGAUAUGCAUGUUCCACGCAAUAAUACAGGAGCGCAAAAAGUUCGGUCCGCUCGGGUGGAACAUCACGUACGAAUUCAACAACAGCGACCGCGAGUGCGCCAUGCUCAACCUGCAGAUGUUCUGCGAGGACGGGCACAUACCCUGGGAUGCGCUCGAGUACAUCACCAGUCAAAUUACAUACGGAGGUCGUGUUACCGAUAUGUGGGAUCAGCGUUGCUUGACAACAAUCCUGAAACUUUUUUUCUCCCCUCCGAUUUUGGAAGAUGACUACAAAUACUCGCUAUCAGGGACAUACUACUGUCCUAGAGCGGAUAAACUGGAAGACUUCCGAGAAUAUAUAGAAACAUUGCCUGUUAUUGAGGAUCCUGAAGUGUUUGGAAUGCACGAUAACGCUAAUAUAGCGUUUGAGUUGACGUGCAACCGCGUGCUAGCGGCGGGGGUGGCGGAGAUACGCCCGAUCAGAUCGUGUGGCGGAUUUGCGACCAGACCCGCGCCUCGAUCUCGACCAAGAUCGACAGUACGCUAGUGAACCCAGACCUCAUGGUGCCAGACGACAUGGGGCAGCUCCACUCGCUGACUACAGUGCUUCUGCAUGAAACAGAUAGAUUUAAUACGUUACUUGCACUUAUACAUUCAUCGCUUAAUGAAUUACAGAAGGCUAUUAAGGGAGUGGUAGUUAUGUCGGAAGCGUUUGAAGAGGUAUUUAACUCUUUUUUAAAUAACAAGGUACCAGCCCUAUGGCACAAAAAGGGGUAUAAUUCCUUAAAGUCGCUUGGCAGUUGGAUCCAUGAUCUCAUACUUA
rnacentral:misc_RNA from 1 species